GUCGCAUCUCGAAAGCCUUUCUGGGCAGCAGAACAAAACCUCAUCUUCCCUUUCAGCGGCUGGCGCAGAGCGGAGCCAACACAGCAGCAGGAUUUGGCUCCGAUCACCAGCAAGGAGAAUGGUUGGAAAGGACUGGAAAGAGCAGGUGGAGUUCUUUGGCAAGUGUGUAUCACCGGUAUGCAUGCAUGUGUGUGUCUGUGUGUGUGUGAGUGUGUGGGUCACACUGAUAGAAAGAUUUCCAGCAGUUAUCUGAUCCGUUUUCACACAGCAACAGUUUGGUAGGUUACUCGAUGUCAUCUAAGGUUGUUGACAAUGCAUCUAAGUUUGGCUGAAGCUGCAUUAUAAGCUCUGCAUGAUGCUUUAGACACACAAUAAGGGGUCAUGUGACAGGGCUGCCAAUGGUUAAAGAUACGUGAACGGUCAACAAUGCUUCUCGUAACCUUCAGUCUGGUCCCUGAAUAUACAUGUGCGUGGUUUCGGAGGCUAUUUUUGUUUGUGUCUAUCAGCGAUUUUUUUCCCCCUCUUUAAUGCAGCUGGAUUUAUUCUGCUCGGCGACAGCCAUUGUUGUCAUCUCUUCUUUAUCGGCAUGUCAGUCUGUCUGUCAGCGAGGCCGUUUCUCGUCCGCGUCUGUCAAUCUGUCACUGGUUUGUACAUUACGGCUGUGAUUAACUGGAGCUAACUAAAGGUGUCCUGAGAAGGAGGUCACGCUCUGCAAAAUGACAGCUUUACGUAAACAUACGAAAUUCGCCAUGAUUGCAUUUCAGUCCUGAUAAACCACAGAGGCUAACACCCCGUCAUGCUAACAGACUGUCACCUUUUGCAGAUGAUUAUGAGUAAUUCUCCUCUUAUAGCAUGAUGAGGUCAAUAUUACCAUUAGUUAAGGUCAUAUUUUCAGACGGACCGUUCUGUCCCGUCUGUCACACACACACACGUGCUCAUACAGUCACUACAUCUACAUGCACAGUUAAAGGGAUAUUCCAACGUAAAAUUAAUUAAGGGGCAUAGGGUUAUUCCAACUUAAGUAACGACCACAGGAUAGCAAUACACAGCGGUCUGAGGAGCCAUAAACAAACCUCAACCAAAACGCCAUGAAGCGGGUAAAUACUGUUCAGUUAUGUGUCUAGAUUUGCGCAAAUUAAGCGAGUAGAUGAUUUUACUCGCGCUUGGUGUGAGCGCCCCAUUAGUCUGGCAAAAAAAUAUAGUGUGUUUUAAAUCAGAUUAACAUGUUUACAUAUAUUAAAAUAAACAGUUUCAUUCAGCGAAAUGCAAUAAAUUAAUAUUUUAAAGUGCAUUUAAAUGUACUGACUGACUCGCACAGUUUCCGGAGUUAGCACAGUUUGGCGCCCUCUACUGGCCUUGAUUAUGUCCCGCUAAUGAGCUGAAGUUACCAAGCUUUUGUUCUUUCUAAUGUAAUCUGUGAAUUAAACUGUCGAGGACGUUUACACGCACUUACUCAGUAGCUUGUUAUGCUAGCGUAACACAAUGUUAGCCAGGACUGUCAUUGUAUGCAGAUGAUAAACGGUUAUUUUUUAAUACUUUUCAAAUCUAUGUUCAGUAUUUGGUCAUUUUGAGAGCAUGAAAAACAAAACCAACCAACAGACGACGAUUACUACAAGACUUAGCUUGCGAGUUAGCUAAGUGGACGGUCACCAGACUGGAAACUCUGAUUACAAAAUGACAGCUCAUUAAAAAAGGAACACAGUGAACAGACCGAUCGGAACUUUUUGUUGAUUGCUGAAAGCCACAAGGGGGAAUGUGUAAUUAAAGAGAACUAAAAUACAAAAUGUCCAACCACUAAGUCACUGUUUAAUCCGAUUGCGGGGGUUAGAUUGAGAAAUAUUAACAGCUUCACUCGUCAUUUUUUAAAUGAAGAGGACAAACUCUUCCUAAAGCUGGAACACCAUGUGAGGAAUAAGACCGAAAAUACUGCUUUCCGUUUCGUUGAUACUGCGUCUUUAUAACCAUAAUAUUGACUUUAUGACUUUAUUACACAAGCUGCCAUUAAACAAACAUCCUGAUGAUCCCGCUCUGUUGGAGACGUCCCAAACUGUCAUGGUGCCUGUUUACAUACUCUCUCUUGUUGACCCACUUCUGCGAAUGUGGUUGUGUCUCUGCUCUUAUGUGCGAACCUCCUGUCAGGUAGGUGGGUCACAGCUUAGGAAGACCGCCCUCCCUCCCUUCACCUCUCUUUUUUUAAAUCCGUGUCGUUCGGCUCGCCGUUGGCUGGAAAAGAUCAAACAGCACAUGUCGGGCUGACCUUCAGCCCGGCGUCUCUGCAGCCCGCUGCGUAUAUCUCAGCAGGCAUAGUGCGUCUAAACAUUAACUCUGAGACCUGGCACAGUUUAGUCUAAUGAACCGAGCGCAUGAGUGUGUGUGGAGUGUGUACAUUAGUGUGUUGGCGAAAUCUCCUGUUGUGUAAGACGAUAUAAAGACGUAGAAGAGAGGUCUUGGGUGUUAAUGUUUGGAGAGUAAAAACACAAACGCCUUAAAUCUGUGUCAUAAUCAUUCAGGUCCAGAGUGCAACAACCCGACCAGAGUCCUUCUGGCUCAUCCUGGGCCCGUUUCCACCUGCGGCCCACCUGCUCCCAUCCUCGCUGGGCCUCGCCGCCGCCGUCUCGAGACAUUUCGCAGCAGUCUUGGAGCUGACAUGCGAGCAGCUGAUCUUUCAGUCCAUUAUGAGCACAGUCGAGUCUUUGUGCGUGCAGAAGAAAAGAUCUGCUUGUCAGAGCCGUGACGUGAAAGUCCCCUCCACUGUGUCACAUUGAGAGGUUUUUGGGCCAAG